GUAUUAGCUUCACCGGCACAUAUACUACAAUUGGAAUGAUACAGAGAAGAUCAGCAUGGCCCCGAGCAAGGAUGACAUACUGAUUCAUGAAGUGUUCCAUAUUUUU